rnacentral:rRNA from 1 species
CAGCAGCCACGGUAAUACGGAGGGUGCAAGCGUUAAUCGGAAUUACUGGGCGUAAAGCGCACGCAGGCGGUCUGACAAGUCAGAUGUGAAAUCCCCGGGCUUAACCUGGGAACUGCAUUUGAAACUGCCAGGCUGGAGUCUUGUAGAGGGGGGUAGAAUUCCAGGUGUAGCGGUGAAAUGCGUAGAGAUCUGGAGGAAUACCGGUGGCGAAGGCGGCCCCCUGGACAAAGACUGACGCUCAGGUGCGAAAGCGUGGGGAGCAAACAGGAUUAGAUACCCGAGUAGUCCCUGUCUCUUAUAC